GGGGAUGUAGCUCAGUGGUAGAGCACUUGUCUAGCAUGCACAAACCUUGGGUUUCAUCCCCA
rnacentral:tRNA from 1 species